UACGAAGGGGGCUAGCGUUGCUCGGAAUCACUGGGCGUAAAGGGCGCGUAGGCGGCUGAUCAAGUCGAGGGUGAAAGCCCGUGGCUCAACCACGGAAUGGCCUUCGAUACUGGUUGGCUUGAGACCGGAAGAGGACAGCGGAACUGCGAGUGUAGAGGUGAAAUUCGUAGAUAUUCGCAAGAACACCAGUGGCGAAGGCGGCUCACUGGCCCGGUACUGACGCUGAGGUGCGAAAGCGUGGGGAGCAAACAGG
rnacentral:rRNA from 1 species